UACGUAAGGGGCGAGCGUUAUCCGGAUUCACUGGGUGUAAAGGGAGCGUAGACGGCCAUGCAAGCCAGGGGUGAAAGCCCGGGGCCCAACCCCGGGACUGCUCUUGGAACUGCGUGGCUGGAGUGCAGGAGGGGCAGGCGGAAUUCCGAGUGUAGCGGUGAAAUGCGUAGAUAUUCGGAGGAACACCGGUGGCGAAGGCGGCCAACUGGGCUUUAACUGACGCUGAGGCUCGAAAGUGUGGGGAGCAAACAGG
rnacentral:rRNA from 1 species